CACGUAGGGGGCAAGCGUUGUCCGGAUUUAUUGGGCGUAAAGAGCUCGUAGGCUGUUCGAUAAGUCGGGUGUGAAACCUCCAGGCUCAACCUGGAGACGCUACCCGAUACUGUCAUGACUAGAGUCCGGUAGGGGAGCGUGGAAUUCCUGGUGUAGCGGUGAAAUGCGCAGAUAUCAGGAGGAACACCAGCGGCGAAGGCGGCGCUCUGGGCCGGUACUGACGCUGAGGAGCGAAAGCGUGGGUAGCAAACAGG
rnacentral:rRNA from 1 species